rnacentral:lncRNA from 1 species
AUGAUCUCCCCGUCGGCACACCUGAACCAAUCUGGCAACCCAAAUAAUGACGUUACACCACUCUUAGCAACGAUUGGUCAACAUAUUUGCAUCUGGGCCUGGCACAGUGUGCAUUUACGAGAGGAGUUUGUUUCAAUAAAGUUGGGGAAAAGAAAAAAACGAGCACAUUUUGUCACGACAGUCAAAGCGACAACAAGAGAACUUCAUGCCACAGAAAAAGAUGAAGAACUUCAACAUCAAUCAAAAGUAUCAAAAAUAUUGGAGGUUGUGCAGGGUCCACAUCCCAAGAUGAUCCUGACAUCACUGAAAAUGUCAUCUCAGAGGCUCCAAGAGAGGCGUGUAUGGAAGAGGAGCCGACUGGAUCCAAAAUUCCACCUACCGGUACCUCAAAUCCAGUUGGUCCAGCUGAAUGACCAACCACACUCUCUGAUCCAGAAAGAAUGGAUUUGGUGCAAAGAGGUCCUUUUCAGACCGAUAAAGACUAUGACUUUCCAAAAUCCCCCUCAUUGAGCUGUUGUGUUCUUUAUGUUGGAUUGUUUUAUCGUUAUUUGAUUUUCUAUUAAGUUGCUGUUUUUAAUAAGUUGGAAUUUUGAGAAUGUCAUUUGUUGAUUGCCUAAUGUUACAUUAAAAAUAUAUAUAUAUUUAUAUAUACAUUUGUCAUUCUUUUUUUUUUCUUUGCAUUUUAAAAUUUGUUCGGCACCACUAAAUGUGCAUCCAACAUGCAGGCAAUUUACUGUAUUCAAUUCUUCGGCAGCAAAAAUAAUUCACAAAUGUAUUAAUAGACAGAUCUCAUUUAUAUUACAACAAAAGUUGCGUUUUUUUUUUGGUGCUGCUGACCAGUUAGAGGGCCCACAAAUUAAAUUUCGCUUAGGGCCCCCAGAAGACCAGGGCCGGCCCUGCUCAGGAGUCAUAUAGAGUUUAAACACGACCAAAGAUUUUUCACACAAACCAACAAACAAGAGGUUUUUUUUGCUUGUCCCUCACACAAAUAACUGUUGUAUUUUGUAAUAAUUUCCAUCUUUUUUUGCAACAUUGCUACUAGAACUCACUUUUCAUCUUUGCCCAGGAAUAUUAAUUUAAUGAAUCAUGAAAUUAAUGAAUGAGCACAGCCUUGAAUGAUCUUUUACACUUUUUUUUAAUCUUUUCCACUAUUAAGGUUGUAUUAGGUUACAUUUUUACUGAAUGCUUUUUGUACUAAAUUGCAUGCUUUAACUAUGAUUUAUAAACCAACAAAAUUGAGUGAGUGAAGUUAAAUAGGCUUUAAAUGAAGGACUUUUCAUUUUCAGAGCUCUUUUUUCCACAACCUAAAGAAGAGUAAUUGGAUUUUAACAACAACAUUCAUGUUCAACACUAGAU